AAUAAUUUGAAAUUAAACAAUAUGAUAGAAGAUAUACUAUUUUUUAUAAAAUCCUUAUUAUUAAAAAUCAUUAAUUGUCUUAUAUACUUUAGCCAUACUAGACAAUUUUGUAACUUUUAUUUAAGAAAAUAAUAAAGAACAUCAAUAAUGAAUUUAUGGUGAGUUUAAUAAAAAAAUUAUUAUAUAAUUAGAUGGAACAACCUAUUUAUCUAAUGAUUCUAACAAUCAUCUUAUUGAUGACACGUGACUACAAAAAUAAGUUGUAAUGUUUCUCAAUUAACAUAUAGAGGAAAUCUAAAUUUUAUUAUAUGGUUAAUGUGGUUGUAUGAUUCUAAGAAUCAGCUUAUACAUCAAUAAAAACACUGUACAAGUUAAAAUUUAUGUGUGAUGUUAUCCAACUUAACCAUUAACAUUAUCACAAAACAAAAACAAAAACUUUAAAAGCAAUUAGAAAGUAAAGAAAGCAGAACAAUGAAGGUUUCAGAGCCAGAGUGCGCCGGCGUCUUUGAGGAGAGGAACGAGAGAACCGUUGACGUGAGAAGCCAUGACUCUGUCCAUAGCUCCAACCAGCUUACCGCCUAUGAAGACGACCGGAAGAGCACCUGGAGAAGAGGCGCCUGAGCAGCCGAGGAGACGAAUGAGUGCUCGCUGGAUGUCGCCGCCGUAGGGGUGAAGGUCGAGCUGGGGAUUUGCAUUCCCAAGAGACUCUCCGUUAGCUGUUGACAUGUCAACAGCGAUCUUAGGUCUGUCUGAAACAGGACAGCUUCAAAAGAUACGUGAAAAGUGGCUUUCGAAAUCUAACUGUAGUAACCUGAAUGGUUCACACUCAGAUGAUGAUCAAGAACAGCUUGGUCUCCAUAGCUUCUGGUUGCUAUUCCUUAUGUGUGGGGUUGCUUGUUUCAUCGCUCUCCUUAUCUACUUCUUCAAGAUAGUCCGAGACUUUUGCAACGACCACAAGCCUUUGGAAGAAGCUAUAGUACCGCAGAGCCGUGCUUAUGUUAUAAAUUUUGAGGCAUUGGCCUCAGGCCCCCUCUUAGAUUAUUAGAUUUGAGGGCCUCAGAUUCAGAAAAUAACUCUGUAAACAUGUAAAUGAUAAUCUAAUGGUUUUAAUGUCCUAAAUUCCUAACACAUACAUCUCUAUUUUCUAAUUAUAAUCGUUAAAUUCCUUUAUUAUUCAUUUUUCUUCUUUAAUUGUUUUUUUUUUGAACUGAUUUAUGCAUAAAAGAAGAAUAUAUAAUAAAUUCUUCUUUAAUUGUUAGAAGUCUCUUCUCUAUAUCAUUUAUAUUUAUAACAUUUUCUUUAUAAGUUUCCAUUAUUUGUUAUACUUUCCUGAAAAAAAAUUCAAAACUAGAAAUAAGAUAUUUAUAUACAUAGACCAAAUUUUUAUAUGACCUAUAUUAUAAGCAACUAUUUUUACUACUAUUAUUAUUUGGAAUAAAACGAACCAAUUUUUUGCCUUAGGCCCCUAAUAUCAUAGGCACGGCACUGAUAGUACCUUCGCCAGAAAGCUCGCAUUCUAACACAUUGCAUACGUUUCUUGCUUACUUUGACGAGAAGGAAGACAAAACCAAGAGAAGGUUGAAGCGUAAACGGAAUCAUGAUCUCUCUGUAAAGUUUCCUAGACCAAUGUGACAGAUCUAAUCAUCACUCAACUCAAGCAAUCUUCUUCAGGCAUAACAACAUACCUCAUGAGUAUAGAAGUAAAGAAAAGGAGAUUUUGAUUAUGUGAUUCUUCAAAACAUAUGAUUUGCAGUGUACGGAACAUUGUUGACGCAAGAAGUUAGAAAAAAUUGAUGCAUACAUAAACUUGUAACUUGUAAGACAAAGCUCAAGCUGUAUUAAUUUGUAUUGGCAGAGUAUUGGUUUCAGUUGACAAACUGAAAAAACUUGAGUUGCCAAUCCGGUUUAAUUAACUUCCCAACCCGAAAGUUUAUUCACAGAAGCUGAACUGAAAUCAAUUGAUCUGUUUUCAUUUUUUCUACACUUCCAACAAAUUGGUAAUAGAAAUUAAACCAACUUAUACCCAUUUUAACCGGAAUUACUUUCAAAAAUCACUCAGAUUAAACAGAAAAUAGUGUGGUUUCUAUUUCUUAUAUAGAGAUUAAACCAAGACCAGCCAAUUAACCGGACUAUUCCAAGUAUACGGGUUGGGUUUGGCUUUUCUAGGUUAGUGGUUACUGAUUAGUCUUACUUUGAAAAAAUAGAUACUAAUAUAUUCAAAUGAAAACAUACUGAAACUUAUUCGUUUAUAGAAUGUACAAAGAAAAUACAUACAUCGAAAGACAUACCAAACGAUGUGAAAACAUUACAUGCUUAAUGGUUACUAUAGUAUACCAUUGAUUUAUUCUGUCACAAACUCGAAAGGUGUUCAUAACUUAUUCAUAAAAGCAAAACACCCCCAUUUAUUCCAUUUAUUUAUUAUUAU